rnacentral:rRNA from 1 species
UACGAAGGGGGGCUAGCGUUGUUCGGAAUUACUGGGCGUAAAGCGCACGUAGGCGGAUUGUUAAGUUAGGGGGUGAAAUCCCGGGGGCUCAACCCCGGAACUGCCUUUAAUACUGGCAAUCUCGAGUCCGAGAGAGGUGAGUGGAAUUCCGAGUGUAGAGGUGAAAUUCGUAGAUAUUCGGAGGAACACCAGUGGCGAAGGCGGCUCACUGGCUCGGUACUGACGCUGAGGUGCGAAAGCGUGGGGAGCAAACAGG